rnacentral:lncRNA from 1 species
UCCGUGGAUAGCAUUUAUUGGGCGCCAUUCUCAGUGUGAAGACAGAUAGGCAGGAAGAGCUGAGGGGAGGCUGUGGCAGCCACGGCCUUUGGAGUCCAGGGGCUGCCCAGGGUGGGGGUGUGGGCGUGAGGACAUGGUCACCCACACAUAUUGCAUAUUCUGUGGCAGUGUGCCCAGGCAUAAGGCAUUGGGGAAGCAGAGAGGCUGCCUGCAGUGAAAGGGAGUGAGGGGGAAGCAACACUGGCCUUCCAGGUCCCUAGGAAAGACCCAGCAGAGACUGAACAGUCCGCCAUGCUGUGCCCCACGGCCAUUCUGGACCCUUCCCCACCUUCUCUCCGCAGCUUUGGUUGUGGCUCCCUCGGGACUGACAGGACAGGACCCUUCGAGGGCAGGGUCACACACAGGACAGAGGCAGCCAGCACUGCCCCCCCAUCCCCAACAUAAACACAGUGGGCACCUCCAGGUCCUGGGCCCUGCUUUCCUGGCACGUGGGCAGCCAUUUUCUCCACACUGAGACGGGACUCACAAGCAGGGUAGACUUCUUCCCCCUAGGGGUCCCCAGAGACUAGAGGAUGCAGGUGGGGGCCUGAGGCUGGCCACCCUGUGGGUGCUGUCCUCCAACUUCCCUGAAUGCCGUAUUGGUCAGCAGUGUUAAGGAGCUGGCAGGGGAACAGCAUGGGAAGGCAGUGUUGCGGGAGGACAGGUCCCUCAUCCACCCCUUGAUGUUGUCCCAGUCACUAUACCGGCUCCAGCUGUGGGGCCCCAAACGUGAGCCUCGAGCAUCACCUUCGUCAGCUGCAUUCCAUCUGGGCUUCUGGGUUGCAGGUGUGGUGGGCCGAGGGCAUCUCUGGUCCAUACCUUGCCACCUGGGAACGGUGUUUCUUGCUGCAGCCUCAGCUUCUCACUAGUUACUUGGGACACAGGCACCAACAAUGACAAUGGUGCCAGGGAUGAUGUCCCAUAGGAUACGCCUGCCAGCUUUCUUGGGCACUCUGCCCAAUUCCCAAACUCCUAGAGCCCCAGAUCCUGGCCUUUCUGCCAUGGCAGGUAAGCCCUGCUUACCUCGGUCCCAAGAACUGCACUGUUUGUAAGUAUGCACCCUGGUGACAAAGGCCCCUAUGCUGCCUCAGGAGCCCAUUCAGAGCUGCUGCCUCCUGACCAAGAAGAGAAGAGGCUGAGCCUCAGCAGUGCCCUCUGACCCGGGACUUCUGAUUCUGGUUUAAAACCCAGGUAGCCACACAAUGCCAGGAUGUACACUGCAGGAGCUUUGCUUUGAAGAGCAGGCCAAGCUGGAAGAAAAUAACACUUCAGCUAGGAACAAGUAGGCUGGGCUCUUGUCUCCCUUUGCCUUUUUUUUUUUUUUUUUUUUUGAGACAGAGUCUUGCCCUGUCACCCAGGCUGGAGUACAGUGGUGUAAUCAGGGCUCACUACAGCCUCGACUUCCCAGGUUCGAGCAAUCCUCCCACCUCAGCCUCCCAAGUAGCUGGGACUCCCAGGCACGUGCCACCACACCUGGUUAAUUUUUUAUUUUUUGUAGAGAUGGGGUCUCACUGUGUUGCCUAGGCUGGUCUCGAAUUCCUGGGCUCAAGCAAUCCUCCCACCUCAGCCUCCAAAAGUGUUGGGAAUACAGGUGUGAGCCACUGCACCCAUCCCCCACCCCUUUGCCUUUUGCUCUCUGGUCACUUCACCUGUCCAGGCCUCAGUGUUCUCAUCUGUAAAAUGGGGGUGAGAACUCCUGCCCUGGUGACCUAAGUAGGCUGUUGUGAGACUCAAAGGAAUCAGUGGCCAGCAUAGAGUUUUCACAGGCUAAAAAUCACUCGACAAAUUUAAGAGUUGAGAAUUGUCAGCAGUAGCUGGGGAUGGUGAGUCUGAAGUUUUCUGUUCCAGAUUCUAAAGGCAGUGUCUGGAAGGCUGAAGUCCUACCUGCUAUGAGAAUGUGGCUAGAGGCCAGUUAGUUUGAACCUCCAGUGUGACCAUUCUGCAGACUGGCAGGCCACUGCCUCC